CACCUUCUUCGUUCAGUCAUUUUCAAUGAAAAAGUCAUUCUCCUUGACAAAGAAAACAAAAAGCAAAACAAAAGAUCAUGUUUUAGUUCAAAUUUAAAGGAAGACAGGGAAGACUAUUAGUAAAAAAGAGGAAGAAGAGAAUUCCAGACAUGGGGGACAGCCAUGGAAAAUACCCAAAGUGGAGAGAUGGAGUGUCUUAUUCAUGAAACAUCAAGAAGGCCAGUGUCACUGGGUCAACAAGAGUACAUGGUACAUGCACCAGGAAGCCUGAAGACAACUAUGGUUAGAUCAAUAAAUAAAUACCUCAGCUGAAAGUUGCCAACUACUUCUAGACCUUCUUCCACUGACCCUUGGUGGAUAUCUCUCACCUGAGAGUACCUGUGAAUUGAUGCCUUUAUUACUUGGGGGGUAAGCAAUAAUUACCGUCCCAGAGCAUCCCCCCACUUUGGGAA
rnacentral:lncRNA from 1 species